CCCCUAGAUGUUCUGGGCCGCACGCGCGCUACACUGAACAGUUCAACAAGUCUUAACCUUGGCCGAUAGGUCUGGGUAAUCUUUGAACGCUGUUCGUGAUUGGGAUAGACCUUUGCAAUUAUGGGUCUUCAACGAGGAAUUCCUAGUAAACGCAAGUCAUCAGCUUGCAUUGAUUACGUCCCUGCCCUUUGUACACACCGCCCGUCGCACCUACCGAUCGAAGGUAAUGAUGAGCCCUCAGGAUUGUGGCCUCGUCGCGUCAGCGUCUUGGCUGCGAGAAUCUGUGCAAAUCCCUACCUUUAGAGGAAGGUGAAGUCGUAACA
rnacentral:rRNA from 1 species